GUUUGAAUGUAUUUGUUAAUUAAGAAAAUAAAACGCACUGUUUAGUAGAAUCUUCUCCUUCAUCCUGCCCAUGGGAUUUCUGGUAGAACAAAUAUUUUAGAUUAGAUUGGACACCUUCAUCAAACAGUUGGAGUGCGUGGGGCAUGUAAAUGGAUAAAACAGACUCCAAACAAACUUGUGCUCCCAUGCCCAUCUGCCCUCUCGCCUUCUCAGGUAUCUGUGGUUUUUGAUCCAUCUUACGAUAGAAUCCCCCAUCCUGACACCGAAUUAGAAAACUCCAUUUCUGAGUAUGGAGGGUACACUCUGUCCAACAGAGCAGGAUCACAACAAGAUAUCCAUUCCUCCCUCCCUCUCUUGUGUAUGGGAAUGGCUUACAACCUCAGUCCAUAAAUACUUUCUAUUACUUUUCUAGAGCAAACUGAUAACUGUAAAUCAACUCGCACAUUAUACUGUUAAUCUCAACCAGAUGACACUUGGGCAUCAUGUUCAGUCGCACACUCAUGAUACUUGGUCAAUGAUCUCAUGCACAUAUUAUCCUUCGAUGCUACAACUCUUGCUGGAGGCGAGACAUUGCAAAUUUACUAAACAUCCCUCCCUUUCAUAUUGACUGGACAUGAGUUCUGUGUCAACUUCUUUAGUUUUCAUUGCAGUGGGUUGUCAUAGGUUAAGGUGGACAGAUAUAAUUUUCAAGCUGGAUGCCAGUGUCAAAAUUAUUUUUUCAACCAGCCUUUCAUUUACUGGGUUUUUCAUUUUUCUGAUGAUUGGUCUGAAGCUGCUUCUAAAUUUUCUUAUUAAUGAGUGGACUUUUGCUCUUGGUGUGAGCAUUUACUGAUAUAUUUAUGCCUUUUAUUUUUCCUCCCCCAUAAUGAAGAAUCAAUGCUAUCUGCCUGCUAUCCAGGAUUUUUAUGGGGACAAACUUAAAUCCUCUUUGGGAUAAGUUCCUCCUUCCAUCAGAAGGUAUCUCUUCAUUCAUAUGAAAUCUCAAUCACGGAAGAGGAUUUGUCUAUGCUUGCUUUUGAUUUUUUGACACCUUAUUUUAUUGCUUGCUAGCAUCUCAGUGAUGCCUAUGAGCUCAUAAAUUUGUGUUUUGCUUUUUCUUGGUAUUUAAUGCCCACUUGUGUGGUGGUCUGUCUGUAGUUGGAGGGUUUUUAUUAAGAGAAAUGAUGCAUAUGUCUUCUGUUCGAAAAUUUGUAUAUUUAAGGUUGAAUAAAAUCAAGCAAUAAAUGAUCAGUGAUGAAUUU